AAGCAGCCCCUCCUCCUGCAGGACUGUGCUCUGUGGUCCUGGCACAGGUUGGGAAGGUGCAACAGGACCUUUCUGGGUUGGGAUGGGGGUUCCCCAUGGGGGUUCCCUAUGGGGAUGCAGGAUGUGGUGGUGUGCAGCCCCUGCUGCUGCCCAGCCCUUUGCUUGUGCUGCUGCUUUGUGAAUCCUGACAUGUUUUGGCUGCUGCUUGUGCCUGAUAGCGCUUUUAAGCUGUGCUGAGCAGCGCUGGACCUCGCGGUGCAGAGGAGCGAUGCGCUUCAGCUCUGAGAUGGGGAGAGCAGAUGGGCACAGCACUGCUGUGGCCCUUCCAGGUUUGGAGUGUGGUGUUGGGAUUCAGACAAACCCCACGUGGUCAAUCUGGUGUUGUUUGGUCCACCGUUGCUUGGUCCACCAUUGCUUUCCUUUAUCUCCUGCUCCAAAGUUCUGCAGGUGAGAUGCGCCGUGGUGCCCCCCAGGUUGGCCAAUGGGGCAGUUGGUAAAUGCAGACUCAUUUCACUUCCAAUGCUCUCAUUUUUUUUUUUUUGAGUCCUCUCGUCAGGAGAAGAUGCCAAUUGUAAUUCCUCACGAUAAUUACAACGAUGCACGUCCCAGCAGCACUGACCUAAUUUACAUCCAGUCUGGAUGCCAAGAAGGUGUUUUUCUCCUGUGCUUAUGAAGAGAAAAUGCUCAGAAAUAGUCACUGGGGAGGAUUCCUUCCCCUCCCCUGUGUAGGGUGGCCGCAGAGGGACGCAGAGCCUCCCACUGGAUGCAUGGAAACCGACCAAACCCAACAGCAAAGAGGAAAUGGAAGGCUUAGGAAGGGAGCUGGGAGUUAAUUGGGGCGGGGGCUGCUCUCGCUUAGCUGUUAAUUUGAAUGUGGCAUUGCACAGAUGGGAGCGCAGCAUCCAAGCUGCCGUGAAGCUCCCUUUGAAGCUCACUGAACACUUCAGCGUGCUAAGAAAAAAAAAAAACACAUCCUAAGACUUUUGUGGAGGUUUGGAGAUCUUUAUCAGAAGGCAGCGUUGAUGGAGAGCUUGGGUGGGGGCUCUGAAAAGCACAGAUUUUUCCAUUGCCUUCCAGGCUGUGCUUGUGCUGAGCUCGCUGCUGGUGACCUUCCCACCCACGGAGUGCAUCGGUUGGGAACUCGGAGCCAGAAGAGCCUUCUGGUGAAGUUUUGGACCUGAUUAAUCAAAGAGUAAUCUUCUGUUUAUGGAGCAAUGGCUGUGUUUUACAAGCAGCCCUUUGUCGAGGUAAUGGAAGUGCUUGGGUUCCAUACGGGGCUCCAUCCUCCCCUCCGUGGGGCAGUGGCUGAGGUGGGCUUUGGGUUUGUGGGUGCCAUAGAAACUCAUAAUGGAUGAACCUCUAAUCCCGUGGAACGCUGUAAGUGUGGGCUGCACGUUAGCAGCACUCAUAGUUCAGGGACUUCUACAUCAAACAGCGCCUUUACAAAUUGCUUUGCUACUCCUACAGACAAGUUUUCCUCUCUCUUUUAUGUGCUCAUAGAAAGGGAAUUUACCAGCUGUUGGCAACCCACAUCAGAUCAUUCUAAACGAGUUAUUCAAAAUAUCAUUAAGGAUCCUCAGCUCAGAGAAGGAAAUAAAACCGAAACCUGUAGC
rnacentral:lncRNA from 7 species